rnacentral:lncRNA from 1 species
AGUGUCUCCAGCUUACCGGGACCACGUUAUGUGCCUAAGGACAUCUAGCCAAGGGGCUCAUGAAACCCCUAGACUCCCACCUCCACAGACUAUUUGUAUUAUAUGAAGGUUGGACCAGCCCUGAGAGGAAGCUGUAGUAUCUUUUAACGGAUCCAUCCAUCUCAGAGGUGUACCGUUGCAGUGGACGUUGGAUGUUCCUGCUCAAAAGAUGCUGGGAAGGGCCAGCUGGAGGUCAGCUAUCCAGUAAAUAUAGGAACACCACCUGCAGACAGCCUCACCCGGGCUGCACCACACCAUGGGAGGUCACAUCACCGGAGGUGUUCACGUGCAUUCCCACAAGGCCUGCGGAUCUCCAUCGCUGUAUCAUUCACUGACUAUACUGUUUGUGGCUUUGGGCCUGAAGUUCCUCCGGGCCUCAUCUUUACAUACCUGAAUCAAAUCCAGUGUUGGGUCACAUGAGGCAGAUGGGGCACUGACUUUCUAAUGAACUCUUGAAUGUAGCCUUGGAUGUCUUCAAGAGAAGCAAAGCCACCAAGAAGUGUGACAGUGAUGUGAAGGACCCAGCACCUUAUUUAUGAUCCCGAACAUCUACUAGACAUCACACACUCAUCUGGGACAAGAAACUGUCCCAACAAAAUGCUUUGUUCCUGACUAGAAUAGAAUACUCUUUAAUAGCACCAGGUAUUUUAUAGGGAACAAAAUCUAUAACUGACAUGGGAUAAAUGUGUGUCUGUGGUUAUUGUGUUUUGUUUUGGAUGAGGAGUAAGUAGAAUUAUCAGCUACAUUACAUGGAUUUUUUUUGUAAAAAAUUAAGUUUCUUUGGUGGUAAAAAUGGGAGAUACUAAUUCUGUUGUUUUCUUCAUCUCUCCGGGUUUAAUGGGCACCUAUUGUAUGCAAGCUAGUGUCUUAGAUGCUCCAGAAACACUAGGGAGGAAGAUAGGCCAGAUACUGCCUUUCUUACGAUUAGUUUCUAUGGGGGAGAAUGAUAAUAAAGCAAUGAAUACCAAGAAGACACCAGCUACGAUUUCCCCCAUCUCUAGUACUCAGAAAUGCAUUCUGAGGAGCAGUCUAGAUCAGCAGUUCUCAAACUGUGGGUCGUGACCCCUGGUGGGGGGUGUCAAACCAUAUCUUCACAGGGGUUGCAUAUCAGAUAUCCGGUGUAUCUGAUAUUCACAUUUUGAUUCAUAACACUAGCAAAAUUACAGUUAUGAAGUAACAGUAAAAAUAACUAUGGAUGGCGGUGUUAGGAAGGAUGAGAACCACUGCUCUAGAUGGAUUGGUGGGAGUAUGUCCUCUGCAAAGAGGUCACAUACACUGACUCCAAGUGACAGAACACUUUAAGGAAGCAAAGACAUGCAAAUGUGUCCCAGUGCAGGGAGAGAUGUGAGAUUUGUGUUGUCUUUCGACUUAUUUUUCUAUGUCUCUUUCUGGGUCCCUGUGACAAGAAGAAAAUGUCUACUUUAUUUACCAACACAUGCACAGUGCCCACACGCAGCUCCUGCUUGGCACACAAAUGCUCAAUAUCUAUUAAUGAAUAACAAAGGGCCCUUGACCUACCAUUCCUUUUUCCCCAAGGGCAGAGCAGGUCGGUCCUGCGGGUAUGGGCUGUGCCCAUCAUGUGGGAGAAUGGAGAGAGUAGGAAGCUGGUUUCCUCAUAGAGCCUGGCAAUGGCAGGCUUAGGAAUCUAGGACUGCCUGCCUGAGGCCACGCCUCUGCCCGAGGCCACGCCUCUGCCCGAGGCCACGCCUCUGCCCGAGGCCACGCCUCUGCCCGCCCUUGUACAGCUUCAUGUUGAGGCUGCUUGUUUUCUGAGCUGACAGGAAUCUGAGGCAGACUUGGUUGAAUUCACCUGCAAUCUUCUGAAAGUGUGACCAGGGUCUUAGCUACAAAGUAAGUUCUGGGUAAAAGGAAGCUUCUGAUUGAGAGUUCAAAUGCCCCUAAAGCCAAGACAGGUAAGAAAGCCCUUGGCUGCCUCCUGCGGUACAAGGAUGGGAAGAGCUAGCUGAUGUUCUGUUCUGGGGUAGCUGGAUCUUUAACCAAAUGACCACCAUCAUAUCUGCGUUAAAAAAAAAAAAGCCAGCCACACCUUUAUGCCUAGCACCCUGGAGGAAGAGGCAGGUGGAUCUCUAGGAGCUGAAGGCUAAGCUUGGUCUACAUAGUGAAUUCCCAGACAACCAGAGAGCUAUACAGGGAGACCUGCCUCAAAAAAGUGCUCCCCCCAAAAAACCCAAACACACACACACCAACUGCUGGUUUUAGGCAGGUUUGAAAUAUUUGAGGGCUCAUUUCUUGCCAUGUGUCUUACUUACAUUUAUGCCUUACAUCUGUUUUGUAAAGUCCCAAGAUAUUUCAAGUCUUAAGGCCCUGUACUGGUAUCUCAAGUUCUACCCGUAUGGAUUCAAUGUGGCAUGUUUUGCUCUUUCUCCAAAUGUUUGAAGUGGGUUUGUCUCAUUUACCUAAUGCAAUGUAACAAGUGACCUCAAAACUUUGAGGCUUAAAAUAACAGUGGGUUGUUUCUGACCGGGUGGAUCUUCUGCCUUAAGCUAGGGCGGUAAGGAUCUGAAGUCUCCUGGAAGCCUGACCCGGGUCUGGGCUGGGGUUGGAACGGCUGGAAUGCGGAUGUUUUAGGAACUGGAUGGACCUUGACUAGGAGUUGAAUCAGGACUGUCUGCUGUGGACCUUGGUUCUUCUCUUCGUGGCAACUGCAUGUGGCUUCCUGUAUCGCCUCACAGCCUAGUGGCUGGCUUCCAAGAAGGACUAUGCCAACAGUAAGCAUUCCAAGAUGGAGGAAGUGGAAGCUGCCAGAGCCAUUAAGGGUCAGCUUGGAAACUGGCCAAGUAUCACUUCCUCUGUAUUUUAUUAGUGAAAGCGCUGAGGAGCUGGCCUGCAGUUCGUGUAGGAGAGACCUGCAGAACAGCCUCUCCGAGGAAUGUGUCCAUCUGGGUCAUUCAAAUCGUAGUUGAGGAUGUUUAAAAAUAGCUGUUCUUUUGUUAUCUCAGAUAAACGAAACGUGAAAUAAAUAACCACGUGGCCCAGCAAUCUCUCUUCUGGGUAAAGGGGUCGAAAGAAAGGCCUUGAAGAUGCGUCUGCAUACCCAUGUUUAUAGCUAUGUUAUUCACCAUGGCCAAAAGGUGUAAUGGGCCUCUUUUCCAUUGGUGGGUGCAUGGCUAAACAAAAUAUGAUGCUGUCUUCAUUCUUUUGGCCUACUAUAACAAAAUAUCAGUGACUGGGUGGCUUAUAAGCAAGAGAAGUUUGUUUCUUAAUGUGAUGGAGACAAGGCAAUCUAAGAUCUAAGUACAGGUAGAUUUAGUUUCUGGUAAGAGCUCUCUUUGACUUUUCUCGUUACAGAAUUUUUACACGGUGGCAAGUGUGAGCAAUCUCUGUGUGGUAUAUUUCAAUUCUACACUUGUCCCUUGUGAUCCAUCACCUCCCAAAGUCUCUGCCUCCUAAUAUUACUAGGAUUUGUAAUAUUGGGUGCUAGGAUUUCAGCAUAUAAAUGUGUGGAGGAGACAAAUGGUCAGACCACUGUAGACCUGUGUAUACAGGGGCAUAUUGUUUAUCCUUAAAAUGAAGUGAAAUUUGUAAUGUGGAUGAGACUGGAAUGGACCUAUGUUAGGUAAAAAUAAGCUAAGGGGAAAGAAAAGAACAUUGUGUGAGUCUCUUGAUGGGCGGGCGGGGCUUAGAGCAGCCAAAUCAGCAGACAGAAAGGACAGAGGUUACUAAGGGCUGGAGGAGAAGGGAAUGGAAGUGACUGCUUUGGGUGUAGUUUCAUUUGAGGACAUAGAUAAAAAAUAUUGUAACUGAUUAAUCUGCUGAACUGUACACUUAAAAUACUUCAAUGGUGAGUGAAUUCAUUAUACAUUUCUUAUAAAUGUACACAAUAAAAACAUUGUUCUG